ensembl:ncRNA F56F3.11 ncRNA
GCUCCACAAUGCGUAUUACCGUAGUCACAGCGCGUGAGAGACAUCUUCUCUCAAACAGACCCGUUUUCAUUCGUUCUUACGCUUAUUUCAGACGUCUUUCCAGAUUAUGCGAAAAUAAAAUUAAAGCAUGCAAUUCGUCUCAUU